CUCAACUGCACAGCAGUCAGGAACGGAGGAAACCAUCCUUCCCUUCUACCGCAUUUCCUCUUGUUCACGGUUUAUUUAUUGAAUAAACGUUUGUCGUGGAUCUAUUGUAUGCUAAGCCCCAGGGUUGGCCGUGGAAACAACAGUGGUAAGAAAGGCAGAAUGUUGCUCUCUCCUCAUCAACAAAGUGACUUCAGAAGGUGGGGACGCCGUGCUGAGAAGAAACAGAUCUGCCGGAAUCAAGGAAGACUUAAAGUGCGAGAUACCAAACCGGAAGCAAUGGCAACGUCUGCUGGAGGAAACACACACGAAAGCCCAGAGACAGAAGACAGCUCACCAUGUCCAAGGGACACAGGCCAGCCCUGCUGGAGGAGAGGCAUGAGAGCAGCCGGAGACGUGGCGACAACAGUUUACAAGAAAGGUUCUCGUGGAGGAGCAGCCGACUGCUUAGGAGCAAUGGCGAUUUUAUGUUAUUUAUCCUGUCUAAUCCUUUGAACAUGUGAGCAGCUGCCAACCCAUAAUGCUAGGACAAUGGCUUUCUUGCCCUGCCUUGGAGAAACCUUACAUUCACCUCUAUUGUUCUCUUCGCCGGUAGAGCUUGAUGCUGCCUUCGAGGACCCACGGUUAUUUUUGUCAACCAUCAUUUCGUCCCACUCCUCCCAAACAAAGCUCUCCUCUGAGUCAUCUGGGGAACCCAAAGGCAUGUGACGGUUGCUCAGCUGUUUAUCUGGCCAUCCAGGAGGAGAGUAUUAAUAUUCUCUUGUGCUCAGUUGGAAAAACAACACAGAUUGGUAGGUUGCUCGACACUCAAGAAUCUAGAAUGUACAUAUAUGAUAAAUGCUUA